CAGGCCAUCCUGAGCACUCCCAGGAAAACAUCUGCUAAGCAGAGGAGGAGGAUUGUCAACAAGAUAGAAGAAGAUCAUAGGAUGAUGCAAACCAUCUUUAAAGAGUGCUUAGGUCCUGCAGCUGGUUCUCUCAAGGAUCCCAUAAAAGCAAUUUUAGAACUUGUUCAAACUUCUGAUCCUGAGGGGAUGAAAAUAGCACUUCUGCCCAUACUAAAAGAAUUUCCUGACCUCAGGAAGGAACAUCUGAGUGCAGUGCUGGAUAUCAAAGAUUCGCUCAGCCGAGAAGACAGAGCUGCUGUCUUGAAGGCAUUUCAUGAUAAUUGCAGUGACUCAGAAACAGAAGGAAACUUGCUUUUUGCAGAUAUAGAAGUAAAACCUAGAAAAUAUGGACUCUAUGGCUGUCUCUGCUGUUAGCAAAGGCCUGCUGGGAGAAACAUGAGGCCUUGCUCUGCUGUGCCAGUGUCUGCAACCACAGCUCCUUGAAAGCUUCAUAUGCAGCUGGAUGCAUGGAGAAGUCUGUCAGCCAUGGAAGACAAAAUUUCUGCACUUUUUAAGGAAAACCAUGAGGCUCAAGUCAUAAUCUUAUAUGUAAAGUCAGGAGGAAGAUGAAUGGGAUAUGGUCAAAAGACAUUUCUUCAAAAUUUGCUAGAGAUUGCCAUUCAGCUGAGUCCUGGUGGUUAUUCCCAGGUUGUGGCAAGUGUGGAGGAGGGUUUCCCCUCACUGAAUUCCUCUCUGUUUCUGCCCCUUGUUCCAUGAAAUCUCCAAUGAAACCAGGGACUGCUGUACCACAGUGUACCAGCAUUGUAACCUCCCGAGGGAUCCAAGACCUCUGUUAGGGAAUAUUGCCUGGCUGAUUGUGCUGGCAAUGCCUGCAGGUCUGGGCACCUCAGUUUACUCCCCAAAGCCUGACCUGCACCAGGAGGGUGCAGACUGAGCUGCCUCUUCCCUCUCUCAGGAAGGCUGUGACAUGCUUUGGGGGCAGCCUGCCAUGGUGAGGUGUGGGAUAGGGAGCUCUUCCUGUAUGAGUUUUACAGCUGCCUCUGGAGCAUAGACUUGCAUUAAUUUUUAUAUCACAGUUACUGGAAAUUUCCUCUUGGAGAGGGAGGGGGAAACCUCAUGACAAGCAGGCAGUAAAAGGAGGCAUUUGUCUCAGCCUCUGGGCAAGGUCUUUGCUAGUUUUCAGAUGUAAAUAGGAAGUUCUAAAGGAAAAACAUUGAUUUUUCUUCCUGGUUAUCUAUGGACUGGUCACAGGCCCUAAGCAGGAAGUGCUUCAAAGCCCUCUUUUGCUAUUGUGUGAAUAGAGGCCAUUACUGCUCCUCUUUGACACCAUCACAAAAAACUCUACCUCAGAUGUGCCAUUGCUUUUCUGAGCAACCAUUCCCCCUCAAGUCUGCUACCCUAACAAGAAGAGGGAAAAUUUGUGCAUACCUGUCAAUGUGUGUAGCAGCAGACAUGCCAUACCCUGGUAUCCUGAGAAGUGCAGGCCCAUCUGGGUGCUGCCACAUUCUGCAGUGCUGUGCCAUCACCCCAGGGACACAGGUGCCCCAUCCCAGAGCCCUCAGUGCAGAUAGGCUCCUGUGAGGUGGAAAGGAGCAGGUUUGUAAUUGUCAUUAGCUUUGUUCCUAUGCAGUGCUGAGCGUGAGGUGAGUGUCAGAGGAGAAGGAAGAAACACCACCUCCAGGGAGUCCUCUGUGUGUUUUCAGGCCACCAGGAGACCGUGGCACUGUUACACUUCUUCCCUCUUGUCACUGAAGUGCAGUGAGAGCAUCCCAUGGCCUGCCUGCCCUUCCUGACUGCCUGGCUGCUCAAAAGGCCAGUGCUGGUGUCCCUAACAUUUCAUAGCUGUCCAUUGUGGCUUCAGUGAGACCUUCCCUGGGAUGUUGGAAGGCUGGGGAACCUGGGGGAGCUGCAGCCUGUCUGGGUGGGCUUGGGUUGGGCUGUGGGGCUGGUGAGCACCUGCCUUCUGAAGGCUGUCAGCCCUUCCAGGCACUCUGGGCCAGUCACUCUCCCCUCCUGCUGAAUUGCACAUUUUUUCAAGGAUGGGAAGGAAUAUCAGACCUGGCUGACAGACCCUAUUGUAAUGGCAGGGUCAAGGUCAGCCUCUGCCAAUGGGGAUUUCAAGAAACAACCCUUCCAGAGGAAAGAAAUAAAACCCUCUCUGACAUUUCCAUCACUGUUGGGCUAAAAAUAAUCCUUCAGCAUGUGGACAGCUCUGGCCAUGCACAUGUCGAUGUCGAUGUGUAUCUGUGCUGUUUGACAUCUGCAGCCAGACAAGGGUGUGUUCUGCUUGGAAUCAGCAGCUGGGAGCCCCCAGGCUUGCCAUUGCUGUGUGCAGAUCAAUGAGGUUUUGUAGCAGCAAGUUUUUGCACCAUGUG